GCGUCGGUAGUGCAACGGUCCGGCACCUGCUCUAGGAAAGAAAGAGAUCUGGGUUCGAAUCCCGGGUGAAGCA